rnacentral:rRNA from 2 species
UUUGAGCUAAGAAUCUAAAUAAAGCAAGAAAAUUACCACUAAAUAUUUUAGCUUUAGGUAAAAUUUAAACCUAAAUUUAUUUAUAGAGUCAAAUUUCAAAUCUUAAGAGAUAAACAAGGAUUAGAUACCCUUCUAUACUUAAGACUUUUGAGCAGGGUAGUAACUAGUUAUGUUCUUCAAACCCAAAGGAUUUGGCGGUGUUCUAUAUAAUUAGAGGAGCCUGUGGAAUAAUCGAAACUACGCGCUAUAUCUUACCAAAGCUAAGCUUGUAUACCGUCGUCUAGGCAAUUCUAAAAAGACUUACCUAACUGAGAUAUACCUAUGGCAGAUCAAGGUGCAGCUUGCUUUGGUUACUAUAGGCUACAAUCUAGAUAUAGCUAGAAGAGGAAAGUAAGGUAACCUCUGAAAUAGGAUUUAAUAGUAAUUUAAGUUUAAUACACUAAAAUAAAAUUUCCAUAGAGCAUGUACAUAUCGCCCGUCACUCUCAUAUUCU